rnacentral:tRNA from 1 species
CGGGAUGUAGCGCAGUCUGGUUUAGCGCGUCAGACUGGGGGUCUGAAGGUCGAGAGUUCGAAUCUCUCCAUCCCGA